rnacentral:rRNA from 1 species
ACUCCUACGGGAGGCAGCAGUAGGGAAUAUUGGACAAUGGGCGAAAGCCUGAUCCAGCAAUGCCGCGUGAGUGAUGAAGGUUUAUGGAUCGUAAAGCUCUGUCGUAUAGGAAUAAAUGCCUGUGGUUAAUACCCGCAGGAGCUGAAGGUACUAUACAAGAAAGCACCGGCUAACUACGUGCCAGCAGCCGCGGUAAUACGGAGGGUGCGAGCGUUAAUCGGAAUUACUGGGCGUAAAGCGCGUGUAGGUGGCUUGUUAAGCCAGAUGUGAAAGCCCGGCUC